rnacentral:tRNA from 1 species
GCAUUGGCGGUUCAGUGGUAGAAUUCUCACCUCCCAAGCGAGAGACUCGGGUUCGAGUUCCAGCCAGUGCA